AUGCACUGGGCUAAACGGCUCAAAGGACCAGAGGAAGAAAAGAGGCAGGCGGCGGGACUGAGUGCCCCGGGUCUAGCUGCACCAUGGACAGAGACUCUGCAAAAGACAAACCCAGCCCACACCCCUCUAGAGGGCGGCUGCAGCUAUAGCCAGCAACACCCCUGCCCCAGAGAAAUGGAGAAGGGGCGGGAGGAUGCCCGGACUACUCAGUACCGGGGCUCCCCAGCCCCCUCCGAGUCUGGUAUUCCCGGAGGAGACAGCUCCUCUCUGCCCCAAUCCUUAAAGACCAUUAAGAGUCUCCUGGCUUGGCUGCUAGAGGAUCCAGCGCCGGAGAGUCGGAGUACAAGCCUCCUGGGAGGCGGCAGAUGCACGCUAUCUAUUCCCAGGAUGGGAUUAGAGGGAAAGAUGGACAAGAGAAAUUGCCCGAGGCCGCCAGCAGCGCUAGCAGCGGCAGCAGGGUCCGCGGCGCUCCUGCUAUCCGGCACAUGGAGGCGAAGAGGGGCCGAGGAGGAGCCGGAGGCGGCGGCAGCAGGAGCGGCAGCGGUAGCGGCGGCAGCAGCAGCAGCAGCGGAGAGAGAGACGACUCCAGGCAGUUUUCCACACACACAUACACACACACACACGCAAC
rnacentral:lncRNA from 1 species